GCCUUUAAGCUUGUGAUUAGAAUAGAGGACAUCAUUUCAAGGAGAAUUUGGAAUGCCCCAGUUGAGAAUGAACAAAGGCUGGGAUGUCAGAUUCUAGGGAACCAUCUUGCUGGGAUCACAGCAGCACACACAAGACGUGACCCUUUCCUUCGGUAUUUAGCUACAUCCUGCUUAUCAGCAAUAGAAGGAUUCCAAAGCUUUUUGAAAUGUCUUGGCACUUGUUCCAAGGGAAAUAGCACUACAUUGGGCAGAAGAAGAUAAAAGGAUGACAAAACGAAGAGCUUCGAGGUCCAGAUUUAGCAACAC
rnacentral:lncRNA from 1 species